rnacentral:rRNA from 1 species
UACGUAGGGUGCGAGCGUUAAUCGGAAUUACUGGGCGUAAAGGGCGCGUAGGCGGCUUUCUAAGUCGAACGUGAAAUCCCUGGGCUCAACCCAGGAACUGCGUCCGAUACUGGAAGGCUUGAAUCCGGGAGAGGGGUGCGGAAUUCCAGGUGUAGCGGUGAAAUGCGUAGAUAUCUGGAGGAACACCGGUGGCGAAGGCGGCAUCCUGGACAGAUAUUGACGCUGAGGCGCGAAAGCCAGGGGAGCAAACGGG